CAUAUCGCAGCCUCCCACGUCCUUCAUCGGCUCCUGGUGCCAAGACAUCCACCGUGCGCCCUUAAUAACUUGGCCACAAAGAUAAAGAUGCUCGCGUCCACUGUGCAGUUCUCAAACUACGAACGGAAACCAGCCGCACCUGCAGGACCCACCACCAUAAAAGACAGCGGUAUCCCACGACGAACCAGCCCGCAAACCUGCCUCCCACCAACCCCAACGGGCCAGCAGAAGGCAGGGUCAUACACGAGGGCAUCUCACUCCCUCAAAACCCAACAGCGUACCGCCCACCCCGACCACCCACCACCCGAAGAACACAGAGGAACCCCGGACAACAACCAGACCAGAAAGAACAUAGUCAGCGUUCCACACCCAUGAGCACCCCAGACCAACCAUCCGGCCGGUCUUCGCUCUGCACCAGAAACCCCCCACUACAGAGGCCCCAGUCGGAAGGCUCCUUAGAAAGAAGGUGAUCCAGCCGCACCUUCGGGUGGGGCU
rnacentral:rRNA from 1 species